AUCAACCAGUUUUCCUUCCACAGACACUGCCAGCCAUAUCAUAGCACAAAAUAAAAACAUUUUACGUGUUUUUUUGUAUAAUUGAAACGAAGAAAUAGAUCUCAAAAGCUUUUCUGGUCUUAUUUUCCGCUACGUUUAUUGUCAUCGACCAAAAUGCCUAUUUUAUUGCAUUUUGGGAAAACGCAGUGGGCGUCCGCUUUGAAAUUAUCCUGUGUUGCACUGAUGGUAUUUCUGGCCUGUCCAGUGAAUUCCAUGGACGUGCUGAUGCCACCACAGAUCCUCGCUCUCAACGGGACAAAUGUCAGAAUCCCCUGUACAUUCACCUCAUGCUACAAGCUGGACCCCAGCAAGUUUGCCAUGAACUGGACCUAUCAGGAGACAAGCAACAGCACAGAAGAAAUGUUCAUGACUUAUAAGAACAAGAUAACACCCUUGAAGUCGAACCGAUUUGAAGAUCGAGUCAUAUUUUCUGGAAACCUGGAUAAGAACGAUCUGAGCAUCACUAUUUCAGAUGUACAGUUGACGGACGAGGGCAUCUACAACUGCUAUGUGCGCAACCCUCCAGACCGCAUUCUGGGCCAUGGCAUCAUCCAGGUCUUCAUCCUGACUGAAUUGCCGCCACCAAGAGAUUCGACCAUUGCUGUCGCCAUCGGGGCAUCUGUGGGGGGAAUUCUAGCUUUGCUCAUUCUGUCCAUGGUAGUGGUGAAGUGUAUUCGCAGACAUAAGAACCAGGAGCUGAUCUCAGAUGAGCAGAAGAUGGAGGAAGAGGGCAAAGCAGAUGGAGAAGGAGGCACAGAAGAAGCAACAAAACAGCCCUAACCCGCCAUCUUAGCCCUGGAGGCCUAACGGAUGGUGGAGCUCCAUCCUACACAUUCUGAAAUUUAAGCCUCCUGCCUGAAGAUAUGUAAAACUUGUUUGACUCUUCAUCCUAUAACUGUCUCAUUCGACAUCCCUCGGUUUUCUCGUGUAGCAGUCAAACAUGUCAUAAAGGAAGAUCUCCACCACAGUGCCAUGGUGUCCAGUUACCAGUGAGAAAUCACAAAGGGUUUCAAACUGCCUCUUCCACUCAAUACAACAGGUUAAGGUGAUAACUUCCUGCAGAACUCUUCGUUUGGACCACCCUUUUUCAAAGUCAAGUAAUGUUUUUUUUUUUCUUCAACUACUGCCACUAUUGAUAUCAGCCAUCCAGUAUUUCUGCUGAGAAUUUUCUAAAGAGAUGAAUUUUAAAUUAUACAAGGUCCUCUUAAAACUGCCAAAGUGUUUUUACCCUUAUGGUGUUUAUACGUUUUAAGAGUUUCUUGAGAAAUCACUGCCCUCAACAACCUCUCAAGUGUAUGUAGAAACAUAACAUGUGUGUGUUUGUGUGUGUGCCUUCUCAUUGUGCCAGUUUGCUCUUGUUGGCUCUAAAAGUUUAUGCUGUUUUUACAGCAGACUAUUAGGCAGGACCAUGACUAUACAUCAGUGUUCAAAAUGUAUAAUUAGCUAGUUUACAGCACAAAGCACACCUCCAAAACAUGUACAAUCAUUGCAUGACAAUUUGCUUAUGCAUGAUACACACAAUUUGCACAAGCAUCUGGCACAUUCCACAAUUAGGGUAUAUUUUGCUGUUCCAUGACAUUUUUUAAAGGCCUUAGAGGCAUAAAUCCUAUGCUGUCUUUGAUUUAACUUAUUAGAUAUUGCAUAUUUGUUAUCUAACAUGAAACUAACUUGUUGGUUUGUUAAUGGUGAUUUUGACUUGUUCCACCUUAGAGGACUUGGUCUUCAUGACUAUCAAACAAUUAUAAUCACAGAAGAGCAUCAUCAUUUUAAAAGAUUUCAUCAUAGUAAAAGUGAAUGAAUUCUUAAUUUCUUUGUUAACCUUAUUAAAACGUAUUUCCCCCAUUACCAAAUAUGCAAAUAAAUAAACAAACAAACAAAUACAAAUUUGAGAGGCCCAAAAAUAAGCUAUUUUGGACAUAAAUAAUCUCUAUUUUCCCAAUUAUGAACAGACAAAAGAUCAAACAAAUAUCAUACUGAGUGACAGCUUAAUUUAUGUCAAAUUUUCUCUAAUUUGCAAGCCUGAAGAAAAACAAAAGGAGUUUCAGCUAUUUUGUACCCUAUUUAUGGAAAAUGCCAUUUCCAAAACAUUGCUUUCACACAUAAACAUCAUCAUUUCAGGUGCAAUAAUUAUGUGGCAAGUUAAACAUGAUAUAUUUAUAGAUAAAAGCCAAAAAACAACCUAUACAGAAAUUUGAUUGUUAAUAUUAUCGAUUGUGUUUGACAUAUGUUGUGAUGUGUUAUUUGGAAUGUGUGAAUUUAUUUUACAUGAGUAUUUUAUUGAACGUAUAAGUUAAUAAAUAAAUUUUUAGUCAAUGCUGAAUUUAUUAACCUCAUAAUCAAAUUUCACACAUAAUCACAUAAUCUGUUCUGAAAGAGACUAACAUUUUUUUUAAAUUCAGUAACAAGCAAAUGAAAGAUACUGGAUUAAUGAAUGCGCAUUUGAUGGAAAGAUUAAAAAAAUAAUCAAUUCCGUAUGACAUUAUAUCAUAUAUGUAUGUAUACAGAGGAAAUAAGAAACUUUGAUUUCAAGUAAUUGGGAAAAAAAAAAAAAAAGAAAACCAAAAACAAGCUGUUUUCAUGUGUUGGGAAUCCAUUUUGAUAGUGAAAUACAGUGAUUGUGAACUUUCAGUGGACUCGUAUAGACAGCAGACUGUGUAGUAGAUUAUGUAGGGAAGAGGCAGGUCCCCUACAUACCAUCUGCUAAAUCAAACAAUUUAAAAGAAUAGCCUCAAGAUUAGUACAGCAUAUUUUGUGUUAUGGUCAGGAAACGUGAGUAUUAAAUAGUUCUAUUCAAUGAAAAAUAAAUAUAUCAAUAUGGAUAUAAUAUGUUUGUAUAUUGUAAUAUUGAAUGAUGUUGAAAAGUAGCAGUAUAUGUCUAAUUUAAACAUUAUGUAUAUUUAAAUUGAUUUAAAUUAAUCUGACAAUGUCAUAGAAAUGUAGGCUCAUUUACAAAUGGUUCUUCUUAGUUCUGACGUAAAACCUCAUACAAGAUAUACAAUAUCUGUCUACAGACCAUAGGAGUAAAGUAUUUCAGCACUUAUUUUACUUCACCAUGUAUGAUUACUUAGUGUGCAUGCUGUAACACUGCAUUCAUUCAGCAUAGGCCCAAAGCCUGGAGCCACAGUGAUUUUGAGCCCAGGAAGCCUCACCCUCUGCUGGGCAAAGCCGACAACCACACUGGCUUCUGUAUACUCACACUUUAACUCACUCAAUCCCUUCUGACUGGCUCAAUCCCUUCUUUAUUUAACUGACAUAAGUGUUAUGUUACACUUCCACAUCAUAUUGUACUCCAAUAAGUAUUUAAUAAAUCAAGUUGCUUCUCGUUAUAUAAAAAUGUAUCAUGAAGUAUUGCUGUGUUAUCUCUAUAAUUUUGCUCCAUUUUUAAUGUUUAAUUCAGUAAUGCUUUAUUGUAUUAUGAACCAAAACUGAGAUUUACUGUUAUUUAACUGUUAUUGCUGUGUAUUCAAUGAUAAUCAUGUAUUCAAUGACACUCGGUUACUUUGUUCACAUACACAUGCACUACAUUGUAUUUUUACCACCAUGUUUUGCAUUAGAUAUUUGCAUAAUGUGAGCGACAUCAGGCAUCCACAAAAUGUAAAAAAAAAAAAAAAAAAAGUCUCCUAAAGGAUAUAAUAAAACCAUUAAGCUCAUAAUUUGAUUUGCUGCACAGCAGUUAACAUUAAGCCAGCUUGUGAAAUCCAGACUGUGGCACAAUGAUUUUAUGGCUAGCGCUUUAGUGGUUGCCAUUCAUAGGUUGAGUUGCCAGGAAACACGACUCCAAAUCCCUGAUUUUCUUCUAUUAGAAUUAGACAACGAUUUCCUAGUUACUUGUUUACAUGUAUUCAUAAGUACUGAUGUAAUAACUAGGUCAUUAAAUAUAAUUUGUAACUCUCAGAAGUCUGAUAUUAUACUGAAGGUGAAUUCUAUCAUAUGUAUGAUGUAACCAUGAUUGUACUGCCUUGAUGUUUUCUUUAAUGCAUUUGCCUUCAAGAUUUCGUUUUUACAUCAAGAUCAUACAAACAUAAAAUUUUGUGGGCAUAAACAAUAACAGCAGUCCAGUGAGGUUGGUUGGAAUGGUUUGCAGACCAGUUUUUUGCUCGUUUUUUCCAUCAUGCAUGCCUCUGUUUUAGUGUCUCGCUGAAGGUCUGACUCUGGCUUACAUUAAAUACAUACUGUAUGCUUGCACUGCACCACAAAUAAGAGCUGCAUCACUGAUUGUUUUUUCAAUAAAAACAAAGAAACAAAG